AAUAUUGGUUUUUGAAGACCCAUCCCCAGCAACGUCAACGUGCAGGAGGAAGGGCCGGUUUGCAUUUCCUUCACUUUCGAAGGUCACGUGGAUCAUUACGUUAAACGUGUCAAAAAUUGUGUAGAGGUUGGGUGAGAAAGGGACGUGUUUCAUAAGUAUCAAGCAGGUACAAUUGCCGCAAGGCUUAAGAGGUGGAGGGAUGAAAAAAAAAUUGUAUAAAAGGAGAGAGAAAAGGCGUUUGAAAUCAGUCGAAUGAUGAUCUCCGACACCGCAAUAACUGCUGCUGCGCACUAUUUUUUACCAACUGCCUUCUUCAUCGUGUUACCUGUUCGUAAUCAUGGUUAACUAAGGCGUCGUGCUGCUGUUGGGCGUUGUACCGUACCGCUGGUUACUGUGCCCCUGGCGAGAUAUCGGGUCCCUUCAUAAAGCCAAAACGAGGAAAUCAGUCAAGUGAUCAUCUCCGACACGGCAACAACUGCUUUCUUUGUCGUGUUAAAACAAUUCGGAAUCAUAUUUAACUAAGAUGUCGUGCUGCUUUGCAUCGUUGAUGGCUGGGUCGACCAAUCGUUUACCCAUGUCUCCUGGGUACUGCGGAUACCAAACCGCAACGCCGCCGUCUUACUACAAAACAGCAUCAAACGCAACGACCAGUUUCUACACCGACGCCCCAAGUACUACACUGAGAUGGUCGAAUGUUCACCAACUGCGUUCUUCGUCGUAUCACUAGUUUUCAAUCAUGGUUGUCUGGUAAACUAUUUCGUCGUGCUGCUGUUGGAUGUCGUAUCGUUGAAGGCUGGGUCGACCACUGGUGUACCGAUGUAUCGUGGGUAUGGUGGAUACCAAACCGCAACGCCGCCGUCUUACUACACAGCAAAAACAUACGCAACAACCGCAUACUACACCACUAUUCACCAGAGUAUAACCCACAACUUAUGAUGCCCCGAACUGCUACACCGAAGCCCCAAAAUAUAACUCUGCCCCGAGUUACACCACGAAGGCAGCGGAGUACUACACCACGAAGGCAGCGGAGUACUACACCACGAAGGCAGCGGAGUACUACACCACCAAGUAUUCUUUUCCAGCCUUUUACACUGAGGUUUCCAAGUAUUUCACCGGAGAGGUCGCACAUUACGCUACAUCCCUCAGCUACUAUACCGAGGCUCCCAAGUACUACACAACCAAGACUCCCAAGUACUACACCACAAACUACGCUCAAUACUCAAUAACCUACGUUGCUCCCACCUACUAUACCGAAGUUUUCUACUUCCCCGAGUUACUACACUACUAAGGUACCUGGAUAUUACAACACAAUCUUCGCUUCUCCAGUUUACUCGUGAAGGCUCCUAUAUACUAGAGCUGAAAUUUCGUUUAGUUUAAUUGUGUUCAAGGUUGUUGGUGAUGUUAAAAUGGUUACUAAUCACUUGGAAUUUUUGUUGAUAUGAAAUGAGGAAAUAUAUUUUUUAAUGG